rnacentral:rRNA from 1 species
UACGUAGGGGGCAAGCGUUGUCCGGAAUCACUGGGCGUAAAGCGCACGUAGGCGGAUGUGCCAGUCAGGGGUGAAAUCCCGGAGCUCAACUCCGGAACUGCCUCUGAUACAGCACGUCUUGAGUUCGAGAGAGGUGGGUGGAAUUCCUAGUGUAGAGGUGAAAUUCGUAGAUAUUAGGAAGAACACCGGUGGCGAAGGCGGCCCACUGGCUCGAUACUGACGCUGAGGUGCGAAAGCGUGGGGAGCAAACAGG